rnacentral:rRNA from 1 species
UUCUGGUUGAUCCCGCCAGAGGCCACUGCUAUCGGAGUUCGAUUAAGCCAUGCGAGUCGAGAGGUGCAAGACCUCGGCAUACUGCUCAGUAACACGUGGACAAUCUAACCUAAGGUGGGGGAUAACCCCGGGAAACUGGGGAUAAUACCCCAUAGGCUAUAGAUGCUGGAAUGCGCUGUAGCCGAAAGGUCCGCCGCCUUAGGAUGGGUCUGCGGCCGAUUAGGUUGUUGUUGGGGUAACGGCCCAACAAGCCUGUAAUCGGUACGGGUUGUGGGAGCAAGAGCCCGGAGAUGGAUUCUGAGACACGAAUCCAGGCCCUACGGGGCGCAGCAGGCGCGAAAACUUUACAAUGCGGGAAACCGUGAUAGGGGAACUCCGAGUGCCCGUUAAAUCGGGCUGUCCACCAGUUUAAAUAACUGGUGAAGAAGGGGCCGGGCAAGACCGGUGCCAGCCGCCGCGGUAAUACCGGCGGCUCGAGUGGUGGCCGCUAUUACUGGGCUUAAAGCGUUCGUAGCUGGUUUGUUAAGUCUCUGGGGAAAUCUUCCGGCUUAACCGGAAGGCGUCCCAGGGAUACUGGCAGACUAGGGACCGGGAGAGGUGAAGGGUACUCCAGGGGUAGGAGUGAAAUCCUGUAAUCCUUGGGGGACCACCUGUGGCGAAGGCGCCUCACCAGAACGGCUCCGACAGUGAGGGACGGAAGCUGGGGGAGCAAACCGGAUUAGAUACCCGGGUAGUCCCAGCCGUAAACUAUGCGCGUUAGGUGUAUCGGUGACCACGAGUCACCGAGAUGCCGAAGAGAAAUCGUGAAACGUGCCGCCUGGGAAGUACGGUCGCAAGGCUGAAACUUAAAGGAAUUGGCGGG